rnacentral:rRNA from 1 species
UACAGAGGGUGCGAGCGUUGUUCGGAAUUAUUGGGCGUAAAGGGCGCGUAGGCGGUGCGGUAAGUCACCUGUGAAAUCUCCUGGCUCAACUGGGAGCUUGCAGGCGAAACUGCCGUGCUGGAGUGUGGGAGAGGUGCGUGGAAUUCCUGGUGUAGCGGUGAAAUGCGUAGAUAUCAGGAGGAACACCUGUGGCGAAAGCGGCGCACUGGACCACAGCUGACGCUCAGACACGACAGCAUGGGGAGCGAACGGG